rnacentral:rRNA from 1 species
UACGUAGGCAGCAAGCGUUGUUCGGAAUUACUGGGCGUAAAGAGUGUGUAGGCGGUGCUCCAAGUCUGGUGUGAAAUCUCCCGGCUUGACUGGGAGGGGUGCAUUAGAAACUGGAAUGCUAGAGGAUGGGGAGAGGUAAGCGGAAUUCCUGGUGUAGCGGUGAAAUGCGUAGAUAUCAGGAGGAACACCUGUGGUGUAGACAGCUUACUGGACCAUUUCUGACGCUGAGACACGAAAGCGUGGGUAGCAAACAGG